GAUUGCACUUCCUCCUUUCUCAAUCUCAUUAUACAACUUUCACAACUGCCCAUCUUUUCUAUGCACGUAAACAACAUUAUUUAGCCAUGCCAUCUGAAACCUCAUCAUCCCCGGACACUUGUUUUUCUGAAGGUAGUCCAUAUGUUCAACUGGUGUCCAAAACAUUGUCGGACAGGCUCCUAGGCAAGUACUUUGAUGCGUCCGAGUUCGACUUCGAUUACGAGCAGAGCAGCCUAUGGUCUCCUGUGGUUUCCCGAACUGUUUGGUUGACCUCGCCGGGAAACCUGUGUUCCAAGAAGCCACAUCGCUUCAGAAUUUAUAUCCAUGCUUGUUUCAAGAUUUUUGGGUGUUCUUGAUGAGCUUUCAGAGGAAGCUGUGUUUCUGAUUUGGAUGGUCUCUGGUGUGCUUGUUAGACAAGGAACUUGAAUCUGAUCUCCAGCAAACUUAGUCAAAAUAGCAGGUGGUCAAAACUCAAAAGGGUCCAUAGUAGUUGUAGACUUGUAGAAGAUGCAUUUUGUAAACAUAUAUAUACUGUCACAUAUACUGCAUUUUGUGCUCAUUUCUAUCCAAAUGAAUGAAAUUGCAUACCUUAUUGACAUUGUUAAUUAGUGUACUAUUGAAUAUAUAU